rnacentral:rRNA from 1 species
GAAACCAGUGAGGAGCGACUGUUUACUAAAAACACAGGUCCGUGCGAAGUCGCAAGACGAUGUAUACGGACUGACGCCUGCCCGGUGCUGGAAGGUUAAGAGGACCCGUUAACCCGCAAGGGUGAAGCGGAGAAUUUAAGCCCCAGUAAACGGCGGUGGUAACUAUAACCAUCCUAAGGUAGCGAAAUUCCUUGUCGGGUAAGUUCCGACCUGCACGAAUGGCGUAACGACUUCUCAACUGUCUCAACCAUAGACUCGGCGAAAUUGCACUACGAGUAAAGAUGCUCGUUACGCGCGGCAGGACGAAAAGACCCCGGGACCUUCACUACAACUUGGUAUUGAUGUUCGGUACGGUUUGUGUAGGAUAGGUGGGAGACUGUGAAACCUCGACGCCAGUUGGGGCGGAGUCGUUGUUGAAAUACCACUCUGAUCGUAUUGGGCAUCUAACCUCGAACCCUGAAUCGGGUUUAGGGACAGUGCCUGGCGGGUAGUUUAACUGGGGCGGUUGCCUCCUAAAAUGUAACGGAGGCGCCCAAAGGUUCCCUCAACCUGGACGGCAAUCAGGUGGCGAGUGUAAAUGCACAAGGGAGCUUGACUGCGAGACUUACAAGUCAAGCAGGGACGAAAGUCGGGAUUAGUGAUCCGGCACCCCCGAGUGGAAGGGGUGUCGCUCAACGGAUAAAAGGUACCCCGGGGAUAACAGGCUGAUCUUCCCCAAGAGUCCAUAUCGACGGGAUGGUUUGGCACCUCGAUGUCGGCUCGUCGCAUCCUGGGGCUGGAGCAGGUCCCAAGGGUUGGGCUGUUCGCCCAUUAAAGCGGCACGCGAGCUGGGUUUAGAACGUCGUGAGACAGUUCGGUCUCUAUCCGCCGCGCGCGUCAGAAACUUGAGGAAACCUGUCCCUAGUACGAGAGGACCGGGACGGACGAACCUCUGGUGCACCAGUUGUCCCGCCAGGGGCACCGCUGGAUAGCCACGUUCGGUCAGGAUAACCGCUGAAAGCAUCUAAGCGGGAAACCUUCUCCAAGAUCAGGUUUCUCACCCACUUGGUGGGAUAAGGCCCCCCGCAGAACACGGGUUCAAUAGGUCAGACCUGGAAGCUCAGUAAUGGGUGUAGGGAACUGGUGCUAACCGGCCGAAAACUUACAACA